CCUACGGGUGGCAGCAGUGGGGAAUAUUGCACAAUGGGGGAAACCCUGAUGCAGCAACGCCGCGUGAGUGAAGAAGUAUUUCGGUAUGUAAAGCUCUAUCAGCAGGGAAGAGAAUGACGGUACCUGACUAAGAAUCCACGGCUAACUACGUGCCAGCAGCCGCGGUAAUACGUAGGGGGCGAGCGUUAUCCGGAUUUACUGGGUGUAAAGGGAGCGUAGACGGUUCUGCAAGUCUGAAGUGAAAGCCCGUGGCUUAACCGUGGAACGGCUUUUGAAACUGUGGAACUGGAGUGCAGGAGAGGCAAGCGGAAUUCCUGGUGUAGCGGUGAAAUGCGUAGAUAUUAGGAGGAACACCAGUGGCGAAGGCGGCUUACUGGACAGUAACUGACGUUGAGGCUCGAAAGCGUGGGGAGCAAACAGGAUUAGAUACCCGAGUAGUC
rnacentral:rRNA from 1 species